UACUCUCCCAUCCGUCUACUGCCUCUCUCCUUUCUCUUCUCCCCAAUUUCUCAUUUCUUCUUCAAAAACCCCAAAUGAAAUAGGCAAACCCUAGCUCCAUCGCCACUGUACCGGAUCCUACUUCUCCUUCCUCUCUCGAACCCUCGCCUCUCUCUGGCUUUUCACUACGUCCCCAAUCUGGAGCAAACAAAAAUAUGAAUCCAAUCCUCCAACUGAGACGGGGGUCUAGACCGGAGGAAGGAACCAGCGUCGCCGUCAUCUCCUCUCCGGCGCUCGCACAGCAGCUGCUGGAAUCAGCAGUGCUCGCCGACGCUUCGCGAGGCAUCAGCCGUCGCUGUCGAUUCGCACCGCUGGUUCGAGGUCGCCGCUGCACCAGGGAGUUCCCGUGGCUGAUUUCGCGGCUUCGCCGUCGCCGGUGGUCUCCGAGCCCCUCUGCCUUAAAGCUAAGCCCCCCCUUUCUAUAAGUUAAGACUUCUAUUGUCUUCUCUAGCAUAAUGCGUUAUGGUUUAGAUAGCAACUCUGUUAGUCUAAUUAUUUGAGCUUACUGUUGAGAUUAUAAGCUUUGAGGCAGUCUAUGAUUGUUCUUGUUUCAAAAUUGUGUGAUGCGGGAAAUCUAAAGCUCUAAGUUCUUGAGUAUGAGAUUCGAAUAUGAUGCAGAGGGGAGUAUUUUGAUUACCUGUUGGGACCAUGAUUUGUAAGGUAUUCUCUUGCUGGACUUACACCACUAUUCUAACUUCUAGGAGAUUUCCAAGUAUGGAAAUGAGAAAGUGUUGUGGUGUAUGGUGGGGUUUUUAUAGGUGAUUUGGUAACUACAAAUCUGCUACUCUUGAUCCUCUUGCAGGGACAUUUUUGUUGGUUGUGAGAGUGUACUCAUGUUUGUUACAAAAACCGAUUCCCAUUUUGUUUUCCAUAUGCCACAUAUCUUCCCUUCAUGAUCCUGCAGUACUUUUUAAUUAAUGUUGCUUGGUGUUUAGCUUGGGACAAAAAGGACUCUUGAAAUUAUGUUUCUUGUUUGAUUUCUGCAGUGUGUACAUAGGGCUGGGGUGGUUGUUAACUGUAGCUCUGCAGCGUCCUAUUUCUCUAUUCUUUUGCAGCAUAAACACUGAGGUCUUUUUACGGUUUUGCAGGUGUAAGGUGAAGCAGGGGCAGGUGGCAGGAGUGCAGGGUGUUGCUGCAGCCUCUCUUCCCUCGCCGGACUCGCGGCAGCCUUGGCCGUAGAGUGCAGUCCGCUGCAGGGGUUGUCUGCCAUCUUUAUGUGCAGCUCCUUCCCACUCAUAGAAAGGGAAAAGAGACUAUUCGUUGCCGGCUAUUAGCUCAUUUCCUCGGCCCAUCAUCCGUCGGCAGUUGAGGCAACAACCGGUGUUAAACAUGUCGUAGCUAGUUCACACUCCUUCCUCAUAUUGUAGAAGAGUAGCUCUACAUGUAACUUUCUUCAAUAUGAAAUAGCUAGUUGGCGAGUAUUUCGUUUGUCUUUGUUUUUGUCGUCAAGCAUUUUGUGAAAUUAAGCUUAACUUGGAACUUCUAAUUAUCAUGUUUGGUUCACUCAAGAAUAUAAUUAAAUACCCUUUCAUCUUCCUUAAAUAAA